rnacentral:lncRNA from 1 species
UUUAAUGGUUGUCUUGAGUACUGCUUGUGAUUGUGCUGUUUGCUUCCUCAACAUGUCAACUUCAUCUCUAAGUGCAGAAGCACAAUCUCUUUCUACCACUAGUUUAGCCUCUAGAGCAUCAGCAGUUGGCAAUUCAUAAUGCACGAUUGGGCCGGUGCCACUGUUGUGGGAUGAUGCAACGUCCAUGGGGACCUUGCUCUUUGAUCUUGGGCUAACCUGUUUUGCCAUUAAAGUUCCGAUUGGAUUCAGAAAAUUUGAAGUUAGCAAAACAUCUCAACUGGGAGUUAUAACAGCAAACCAGUUAAACAAACAAGGAAUUAAAGAGUUUCAAUUGGAUGCUGAAAAGUACUUUUUAACAUCGUUGUAACCCGCUGUUGCAGCAGCAAAGCAGUUAAACAAACAAGUAGAUAUUUAAGUUAAGGCAAACAGGUAAUUCUUAACAGUAAGUAUCAAACACAUAGAUAGGCGCAGUCUACAAUAUGAUUAACAGGUUGUGCCAUUAUGUAAUCAGUAGCAAACUAACUUAAGCCAAGCAACGUAAUUGAACAAUUUUGCAAUAAGUGGCUAAGUAAAAUUCCGAGAAGCAGGUAAAUGAACUUACGCUAGUUCUUUGUAGAGGCACACUGCAACUUCUUUUUCGCUU